ACACACAGCAGUGUGUGUGUGUGUGGAUAUAUCUAUCUGUCUAUCUAUAUUUAUAUAUAUAUAGAUAGACAGAUAGAUAUAUCCACACACACACACGCGGCGUGUGUUU